rnacentral:rRNA from 1 species
GAAUAUUGGACAAUGCCCGCAAGGGUGAUCCAGCCAUGCCGCGUGCAGGAAGACGGCCCUAUGGGUUGUAAACUGCUUUUACACCGGAGAAAACCCCCUUUCGUGAAAGGGGCUGAUAGUAUGGUGAGAAUAAGCAUCGGCUAACUUCGUGCCAGCCGCCGCGGUAAGACGAAGGAUGCAAGCGUUAUCCGGAUUCAUUGGGUUUAAAGGGAGCGUAGGUGGCCUUAUAAGUCAGUGGUGAAAUCUCUGGGCUUAACCCAGAAAUUGCCAUUGAUACUGUAGGGCUUGAGUACAGUUGCUGUGGGCGGAAUAUGACAUGUAGUGGUGAAAUACAUAGAGAUGUCAUAGAACACCGAUUGCGAAGGCAGCUCACAAAACUGUAACUGACACUGAGGCUCGAAAGUGCGGGGAUCAAACAGG